UACGGAGGGUGCGAGCGUUGUCCGGAAUCACUGGGCGUAAAGGGCGCGUAGGCGGCGCGGAUAGUCGGCGGUGAAAGCCCGGAGCUCAACUCCGGGUCGGCCGUCGAUACUUCCGGGCUUGAGCACUGUAGAGGCAGAUGGAAUUCCGGGUGCAGCGGUGGAAUGCGUAGAGAUCCGGAAGAACACCGGUGGCGAAGGCGGUCUGCUGGGCAGUUGCUGACGCUGAUGCGCGACAGCGUGGG
rnacentral:rRNA from 1 species